AGCGAACGCUGGCGGCAGGCCUAACACAUGCCAGUCGAACGAACCUUUCGGGGUUAGUGGCGGACGGGUGAGUAACACGUGGGAACUUGCCUUUAGGUUCGGAAUAACUCAGGGAAACUUGUGCUAAUACCGAAUGUGCCCUUCGGGGGAAAGAUUAAUCGCCUUUAGAGCGGCCCGCGUCUGAUUAGCUAGUUGGUUGAGGUAAUGGCUCACCAAGGCGACGAUCAGUAGCUGGUCUGAGAGGAUGAUCAGCCACAUUGGGACUGAGACACGGCCCAAACUCCUACGGGAGGCAGCAGUGGGGAAUCUUGCGCAAUGGGCGAAAGCCUGACGCAGCCAUGCCGCGUGAAUGAUGAAGGUCUUAGGAUUGUAAAAUUCUUUCACCGGGGACGAUAAUGACGGUACCCGGAGAAGAAGCCCCGGCUAACUUCGUG
rnacentral:rRNA from 1 species